rnacentral:lncRNA from 1 species
CUUCUGAGAUGACUUUGCUUCCUUACAGAGUGACACGGCUGUCAUGUGACAUCUUUGUAAGAAAAGCAUAUACUAGUCAGCAGAAGGAGUCUUGCCAUAAUUAAUUAAUGCUUGAGAGAACUUUGAAGCUGAAACAAUUUAAUAGACUUCAUUAUUGAAGAACCCUUCAAAUUUCCGUGGAUUCAGAAAUAAAUGUAUGGCUAGCAGUCCAGUCCUAGGAGUACAUGACUCAACGUUGUCUGGAAACCUCUCCAUCCCAAGUCCAGACUCACUUACCUGACAGAGGAUGGUGCUAUCGAUGGAGCAAACUGUGUCUUCAUAGGAUCAAGCUUCUGACGAUGAAGAAGGUCUUGAGAAAGGAAGACCUUUUUGGUUGAGGCAGGGGAAAGAAGUCAAGCUCUCAGAAUUUCAGGAGUGGACAGAGGGAGGUUCUGUGUGGGAAGCUUGAGGGCUGUGGAAGGAGAACUCUGCAGGACAGGCAGGCAGUGCAGCAGAGACCACAGAGCUGCUAUAUCACCUUCUGCGCAUGCAGUCCAGUUUCAUAGGAUAAAUCUUUGAGAAAAAGAGACUUUAAAUCAGUAAUUAUCUACAAGGUCAUGUGAUCAGCUUGUGGUUUCCUUUUUAUUCAGCAGCAAAGGGAGCUAAGGACAUUGUAUCCGGGUCCAAAAGCAUAUUUGUUCACUGUAUAAUUUUGUAAGAAGCUCAUUUUAAGCAAAACACUGAAUGGUCAUAGAUUUAUGUCUGGCACUAUAGCUCAUUUGGUAGAGUACUUGCCCAGUAUCUGUGGGUUUGUCUUCAGUAUUCCAUAUACUGGCAUGGAGGCACAUACUUGCAUUUAUAGUUCACAGAAACAGGUUUAGAUACAUGAGGCCAAGUCUGAACAAAUAGCAACAAAACCUGAAGAUUUGUUAAUUUUUGAUAUCUAAAAUAUGCAAGUAUAUGUCUUUAAGAUUUUAAAUUCCAAUAAAACACCUCAAAUAUACAAAAUAAGGUGAAAUGUGCCUUGUUAUAAUUCAAUCACAGAGAACGUAGUAAUAUCAUAAAACUUUUUUUUUAAAUAAAAGAAACUAUUUCACUUUUUAAAAGGUUAAGAAUAGAAUGUGUUAGACUGGGACACACUCUUCUGUAUAAAAUAGAGCCAUCAUCACUGGCUGCCUCGUGGCCCCCUUUUAAAAACUAAAUGAAAUUGAUUCAUGCAAAGAACCCCCAAAGCUUCCCAUGUCUGUAUGUCUUGCCCAUUGUCAUUACUAUCAAACCUGCAGCAGGGCCCAUUUUACCAUCUAAUGCUCUGACCUCAGACCUCAGCAUUGGCCAUACAUAGUCAGAGAGCUGUCUUCUCAGUGUAGCGCCAUGACAUAUGCAUACUAACCAGAAAUAUGAGCACCAUUCAAGCAAUUUCAAUUCCCAUUUUUUUCUUGGAAAAAUAUCAGAAAUUAUUAAACAGAUAUGUCAAAUUUGUUGAUGGCAAAUAGCCAUCUAGAUACAAUAUAGUUAAUUUCUUUUGGCCUUUUCAUUUUUCUUCAUGUUAGUCAGUACUUAAAGCAAAUUGUUGGCAAUCUGUUGAGUUUUUAUUAUUUUAUAAGCUGGCUUCUUGACAUAAUCUUUAUUCAAAUGCAUUUACUAAGGACGUAAUAUUGUAAACAAUCUGGAAUUAUUAUACACUCUCCACAGAUUCACACUAAGGACAAUAUUGGUUAUCAGGUAAAUUAUGAUGAGCAAAUACAAAAACUGCAAAUAACUGCUUCAUGUUUAUAGUACAGCUUCUUGCACAAACACCCAUGAACAAACAGCUCACAGGAAGGCUGGGAUUCACCUGUUAGUCAUUUCACAGUAGUUUGUAAUAUUUCAAUACUGAGGCUUUUCCAAGCCAACAUCAUGACAAGAUACUAUCCCUUCCCCUAUGAUGUUAUAGUACAAAGAAGCGAAUAGAAAAUAAAAUCAUGAUCUGA